UACAGAGGGUGCGAGCGUUUAAUCGGAAUUACUGGGCGUAAAGCGUGCGUAGACGGUCAAGUAAGUCGGGUGUGAAAGCCCCGGGCUCAACCUGGGAAUUGCAUUCGAGACUGCGUGGCUAGGGUGCGGAAGAGGGAAGCGGAAUUUCCGGUGUAGCGGUGAAAUGCGUAGAUAUCGGAAGGAACACCAGUGGCGAAAGCGGGCUUCCUGGUCCAGCACCGGACGUCAGGCACGAAAGCGUGGGGAGCAAACGGG
rnacentral:rRNA from 1 species